rnacentral:lncRNA from 1 species
UUCAAGGGCUUGUAAUCAUCAAUCGGAGUCUUAGUUUGUGUGGGAAUUACUAUUCAUCGGUUGAAGGUAAGGUUUAGUCGCUUAUGGGUUAAAACCUCGAUAUGAGUUCUAUUUGGGAUCACAUUAUGUGAGAUUAAAUUAGUGUUAUUUGUUCAAUUAUAGGCUUUGGAAUGCUCGGGGACUAUUUUACCAUCAAACAAAACCAG